rnacentral:rRNA from 1 species
ACGGAAGGCAGCAGUGAGGAAUAUUGGUCAAUGGACGGAAGUCUGAACCAGCCAAGUCGCGUGAAGGAAGACGGUUCUAUGGAUUGUAAACUUCUUUGCAUGAGGGUAAAAGACGGUACGUGUACUGUUUUGCAAGUAUCAUGUGAAUAAGCAUCGGCUAACUCCGUGCCAGCAGCCGCGGUAAUACGGAGGAUGCGAGCGUUAUCCGGAUUUAUUGGGUUUAAAGGGUGCGUAGGCGGGCUGUUAAGUCAGCGGUGAAAGUUUGCGGCUCAACCGUAAAAUUGCCGUUGAAACUGGCGGUCUUGAGUGUAAACGAGGUAAGCGGAAUGUGACGUGUAGCGGUGAAAUGCUUAGAUAUGUCCCAGAACUCCGAUUGCGAAGGCAGCUUACCAGCAUACAACUGACGCUGAGGCACGAAAGCGUGGGUAUCAAACAGGAUUAGAUACCCUGGUA